CAGUGAAGCGAGAAAACCUCUGAUUGGCAGACCGACGAACAGUAGUGGAGGAGGAAUGAAGCAAAUAAGUUUUAAAAGUGUGGACGUGCGAUUUUGAAUAAGGACCCGGGUUCACUUCGCAAUGCUUUGGAUAGUGUUUGAAGCAAGUAUUUGAAGCAAGUAUUUGGAGCAAGCAAUCGAAGUCAGCAUUUGAGGCAGACGUGUGAAACAAGCAUUUGAAGCAAGAAUUUGCAGCAAGCGUUUGAAGCAAGUAUUUGAAGCAAGAAUUUGUCGCAAGGAUUUGAAGCAACCAUUUGAAGCAAGCGUGUGAAACCAGCUUCGAAGCCAAGCGUUUGAAACAAACAUCUGAAG